UGAUGUGAAAAGUCCUUUUCAUCCAUACUGGCCCACAAGUACACCGCAGAGUGUGAUCUUUCUUCAAGACCCAAGAUGAUGUCUGACACUAAUGGAGGAUCUCAGGCAUUGGAGAUCACCUGGGUGGAGCCUGCCUCCCUGGAUCACCCUAUUGUUCUGCCACUGCUGCUACCUGCUGCCUAGCUGUUCCGGGAGCCUACACGUGCUCUGCUCACCUGCAGCUGGGCUCCAAGGAUGAUUUGACGGGAAUGCCCCCCACCCUUUCUUUAUAAGCACGUGUCCCCUGACAUUAAAAUUGAACUUUGAGCAGACUAGCAUGUCUUGGUUCCAUUGUUUCUCAACCCAUCUAGGCUCCCUCUUCUC
rnacentral:lncRNA from 1 species